rnacentral:rRNA from 1 species
UCCGCGGUGGAACAUGUGCUUUAAUUCGAUGCAACGCGAAUAACCUUACCUGGUCUUGACAUCCACAGAACUUUUCAGAGAUGAGAAGGUGCCUUCGGGAACCGUGAGACAGGUGCUGCAUGGCUGUCGUCAGCUCGUGUUGUGAAAUGUUGGGUUAAGUCCCGCAACGAGCGCAACCCUUAUCCUUUGUUGCCAGCGGUCCGGCCGGGAACUCAAAGGAGACUGCCAGUGAUAAACUGGAGGAAGGUGGGGAUGACGUCAAGUCAUCAUGGCCCUUACGACCAGGGCUACACACGUGCUACAAUGGCGCAUACAAAGAGAAGCGACCUCGCGAGAGCAAGCGGACCUCAUAAAGUGCGUCGUAGUCCGGAUUGGAGUCUGCAACUCGACUCCAUGAAGUCGGAAUCGCUAGUAAUCGUGGAUCAGAAUGCCACGGUGAAUACGUUCCCGGGCCUUGUACACACC